UAGGGAAUCUUCCACAAUGGACGCAAGUCUGAUGGAGCAACGCCGCGUGAGUGAAGAAGGUUUUCGGACCGUAAAGCUCUGUUGUUGGUGAAGAAGGAUAGAGGUAGUAACUGGCCUUUAUUUGACGGUAAUCAACCAGAAAGUCACGGCUAACUACGUGCCAGCAGCCGCGGUAAUACGUAGGUGGCAAGCGUUGUCCGGAUUUAUUGGGCGUAAAGCGAGCGCAGGCGGAAGAAUAAGUCUGAUGUGAAAGCCCUCGGCUUAACCGAGGAAUUGCAUCGGAAACUGCUUUUCUUGAGUGCAGAAGAGGAGAGUAGAACUCCAUGUGUAGCGGUGGAAUGCGUAGAUAUAUGGAAGAAUACCAGUGGCGAAGGCGGCUCUCUGGUCUGCAACUGACGCUGAGGCUCGAAAGCAUGGGUAGCGAACAGGAUUAGAUACCCUGGUAGUCCAUGCCGUAAACGAUGAGUGCUAAGUGUUGGGAGGCUUCCGCCUCUCAGUGCUGCAGCUAACGCAUUAAGCACUCCGCCUGGGGGAGUACGAUCGCAAGGUUGAAAC
rnacentral:rRNA from 1 species